CCUACGGGCGGCAGCAGUGGGGGAUAUUGCACAAUGAGGGGAACCCUGAUGCAGCGACGCCGCGUGGGUGAAGGAGUGCUUCGGCAUGUAAAGCCCUAUCGGCAGGGAAGAAGCAAGACGGUACCUGACUAAGAAGCCCCGGCUAACUACGUGCCAGCAGCCGCGGUAAUACGUAGGGGGCGAGCGUUAUCCGGAUACACUGGGUGUAAAGGGAGCGUAGACGGCCAUGCAAGCCAGGGGGGAAAGCCCGGGGCCCAACCCCGGGACUGCCCUUGGGACUGUGCGGCUAGAGUGCGGGAGGGGCAGGCGGAAUUCCAGGUGAAGCGGUGAAAUGCGUAGAUAUAAGGAGGAACACCGGCGGCGAAGGCGGCCUGCUGGACCGAGACUGACGCUGAGGCUCGAAAGCGUGAGGAGCGAACAGGAUUAGAUACCCUUGUAGUC
rnacentral:rRNA from 1 species